AUCCAGCUGAGGAGUUUCAAGUAAAACGAAACGCGCGUCAAACUGGAU
rnacentral:hammerhead_ribozyme from 1 species